GCCGUAACUCAGUGGUAGAGCAUCUGCUUUGCAAGCAGGAGGUCGCAGGUUCAAUCCCUGGCAUCUCUA
rnacentral:tRNA from 1 species